UACGAAGGGGGCUAGCGUUGCUCGGAAUCACUGGGCGUAAAGCGCGUGUAGGCGGGUCUUUAAGUCGGGGGUGAAAUCCUGGAGCUCAACUCCAGAACUGCCUUCGAUACUGGAAGACUUGAGUCCGGGAGAGGUGAGUGGAACUGCGAGUGUAGAGGUGAAAUUCGUAGAUAUUCGCAAGAACACCAGUGGCGAAGGCGGCUCACUGGUCCGGUACUGACGCUGAGGUGCGAAAGCGUGGGGAGCAAACAGG
rnacentral:rRNA from 1 species